UACGAAGGGAGCUAGCGUUGUUCGGAAUCACUGGGCGUAAAGCGCACGUAGGCGGCUCUCUAAAGUCAGGGGUGAAAUCCUGGAGCUCAACUCCAGAACUGCCUUUGAUACUGGAGAGCUUGAGUCCGGAAGAGGUGAGUGGAACUCCGAGUGUAGAGGUGAAAUUCGUAGAUAUUCGGAAGAACACCAGUGGCGAAGGCGGCUCACUGGUCCGGUACUGGACGCUGAUGUGCGAAAAGCGUGGGGAGCAAACAGGG
rnacentral:rRNA from 1 species